UACGUAGGGCGCAAGCGUUGUCCGGAUUUAUUGGGCGUAAAGAGCGUGUAGGCGGCCAGAUAGGUCCGUUGUGAAAACUCGAGGCUCAACCUCGAGACGCCGAUGGAAACCAUUUGGCUAGAGUCCGGAAGAGGAGAGUGGAAUUCCUGGUGUAGCGGUGAAAUGCGCAGAUAUCAGGAAGAACACCCGUGGCUAAGGCGGCUCUCUAGUACGGUACUGACGCUGAGACGCGAAAGCGUGGGGAGCGAACAGG
rnacentral:rRNA from 1 species